CGAGCGGGCAGCCAGAGACCUGGCCCGCGUCUCCCCGCGCCUCUCCCCGCGACCCUCGUUCCUCCUCCCGCCGCCGCCGCCGCCGCCCACGAUGGACGAAGUGAGAGGAAAGAGCCUCGGGAGACCGUCGCCUCUCCUCACCGGCCUUCUCCCAGGUUCCCGAUCUGGAGCCUCUCACCUUCUCCUAGAUCUGGAGCGGGAGGGACGGACGCCGGCGAGGCCAGCCUCCCCUUCACACACGGAGGUUGUUGAGAUUAUUGAUCGGUAUGAUCAUGCAUGUGUCCCACCUAACAUGACUGAUAAUAAGCUUGCGUACAUCCAGAAUGAGGCUAUAUCCAAAGAGUGCACAAGGACUCUCACGGUUACAAAGGAUACGAAGCAGCCAAUUUAUGCCUACUACCAACUUGACAACUUUUAUCAGAAUCAUAGGAGUUCAUGCCCCGGUCAAAUCUAGAGCUAUGCAUGCCUAUGUCAUCUCUCACAGAUCACUGUUCUUUUCAUUCCUCCAAUUGAAACCAUGGCUGCCAGUAUUGAGGUCACUUGCUAUUCCUGCUUUUACUAAUGUAAAUUUUACUUAUUUGUUUUGGUGGCUUAGGUGAACGCCCACAACCCGCCUUUGAUUCUUGAGGUGUAUUGUGUACUCUAAGAUACAUUGCCCUUGAUGCUUUUCGUGAUUUGGCAUGGAUGUUUGGUUCCUAUUAAUUUAAAGGGUCAGGAUUCUGUACUAGACGUGAUGAGAUAAAAUGAGGUCUGAAUUUUUUAGCCAUGCUUUCUUAGCUCAUGAAGGCAGGAGCAUAUGUGAUUUUUCUGUACCACCUUCCCGCGGCUCUGAGGAUUUUGUCUGCUCGCUGCCUCUCCGCUAUUUAUUUGUUGUGUCUACUGCAUUGUUUGUUCUGCCACCUUUUCCUCAGUUGCUAGCGGGGGCCUUGGCUUAUCGUAUUGUUUGUUGCCUUCCUCUCAUAGGUUCGUUGGUAUUGUAAACCAUUUUUGUUGUAGUAAUAACUACAAUGUCAAAUAAAUUUACAUUUCACCUUGCUUCCACUAUUAUUCAAGUUUUUCCCUGCUUAUUGGUCGUACUAGCAAGAUGGUUUUUGUUUUUUUACCGUGUCUAACAUAGUGUAUUUCUACGAUUUUUCUCUGUUAAAACAUAUCCACUUCCAUGCUCUUUUCUCUAUUUUAGUACACAAUAGUAUGGCUGCAUACUACCAAUUGCAGAAAUUAUUCAUUUGCCACUAAAAUAUAUAUUUUCCUAUUCACAAAUUAAAUAACAACAAAGAUGAAGUUGGUCCCUGGAUGCCUAAUAUGUUCUUUCAUAUCCUGGUCAGUUUACCAGGUAACAGAAUUAAUACUUCUUGUUGGUUCAAUAGUCAAUACCAGUGUUGUGAGAAAAUUCCUUACGGUUGUUGUAUUUUGGUAGCUUCUUCUUUUGCAAGUGGCAAAUUACUGUUAUGUAUAUGUGGAAUCCUAUUAAAUCUGUGCAUUGGUUUCAGUCAUACUUUUCUAAAUGGAGUAUAGUUCAAGACUGUUUUGUUCAUUAAAUCAUUCCUUCUACCUUCCAAGUGUGUUGUUGGCACACCUCAAAUUACUUCUACUUAUACAUGUAUUCAAUGUUUGGCGGCUCGAUCCGCUCCUGGAUCGGGAGAGGAGGAAGGGAGGUGGGGGCCGGCCGUCUCUGUGCCUCCUCGACGCCGAGCUGCGGCUGCUCCGUGUGUGCGCGCUCUCUCUCUCAGAUAAGGAGAACUUUAACCUUGCGCCCACCUAUGGCAAUAUUGCCCUCUUUAUAUUCUCCCUCGCUCAUCAGCAGCAGCGAUGGUGGCGUCAUUGUCGGCCUUGCAGCAUGUGGCAUAAUCAUGUCCAUUGCCUACUCUGGGGCAGAUCUUUGAAAGUUCCAAGUUGGUUAAUGUUGAUUUUUGCUCAUGCACAACCCAUCAUAGGAAUUAGUAGGAUCCUCUUCGAUGGAUGUAAGGACUGCAACAGGUUUCUUUCAGCAGCCUGGGGUUGUUAAGAAGAGGGUCGGGAUUGCUCUGGGCAGAUGCUUAAAUUCCUGGAUGUAAACGCACACUUGUCUCCUACACAGGCCAAAAUACUAUUGGAGAUAAGGAUACCCGCGCUGCUGCUGUUGCGUUUGGUUAGGGAGGGGCUUCUUCGUCUGCUUUGCCGUGCGGUGGCUGUGCGGCUGCUUGUUCCUUCUUGUCCGGUGUACAUGAGAAGCUCCAAUUUUGUCGGUAAUAGCCACUGGAGAAAGUAGUGAUUGGGUUUAUAUGGGAUAGUUAUGUAUGUCCAUUGUGUGAUGGGAAAUACAAUGCAGUGGUUAAUUGUCACAUGGCUUCUCAAUAGUGGCUUCUCAGUAAAAAAAAGUUAUAUGAUGUAUGAUAGCCAUGAGUAUGAUGAUUUUUCGGAUGGGCGGUAAGCUUCCCAUGUUUGAUGUUUUUUUUUACUUUUUAAAAUUGAACGAUGCUGGUGAGAA